rnacentral:rRNA from 1 species
AGACAGCUAGGAUGUUAGCUUGGAAGCAGCUAUUCAUUCAAAGAGUGCGUAACAGCUCACUAGUCGAGCGGCAAAGCGUGGAUAAUAAACGGGCAUCAAGUAUACCACCGAAGUUCUGGGCACGAAAGUGCGGUAGGGGAGCAUUCCAUUCCGCGUUGAAGCCGAACCGUGAGGUUUGGUGGAGUGUAUGGAAAAGCAAAUGUAGGCAUGAGUAACGAUAAUGCGGGAGAGUAACCCGCACACCGCAAGACCAAGGUUUCCUGAUCAACGCUAAUCGGAUCAGGGUUAGUCGGGUCCUAAGGGUAAGCCGAACGGUGAUCUCGAUGGAUAAUCGGUUAAUAUUCCGAUACUGACAUAUACCUCGAUGGAGAGACGAAGGAACGUAAGUGCCGCCACCUGACGGAAUAGGUGGUUAAAGGGCUUAGGUAUAGGGGCAGAUUAAGAGUUAGUCCUUGCUGAAACCUGACAGUACAGAGAGCUUACGGGCAAUUUGAUAGUGCACCCAAGUCGACUUCCGAGAAAAUCUUCUAAGUUAUAGUAUAUGUCACCCGUACCGUAAACCGACACAGGUGGUCGAGGAGAGUAUCCUAAGGUGCUCGAGUGAAUCACGGUUAAGGAACUAGGCAAAUUAACCCCGUAACUUCGGGAAAAGGGGUCCCAUCGCGAGGUGGGCGCAGCGAAGAGGUCCAGGCGACUGUUUAUCAAAAACACAGGGCUCUGCAAAUUCGAAAGAAGACGUAUAGGGCCUGACACCUGCCCGGUGCUGGAAGGUUAAGAGGGGAUGUCAUCGCAAGAGAAGCAUUGAAUCGAAGCCCCAGUAAACGGCGGCCGUAACUAUAACGGUCCUAAGGUAGCGAAAUUCCUUGUCGGGUAAGUUCCGACCUGCACGAAUGGUGUAACGAUCUGGACACUGUCUCAACCGUGAGCUCGGUGAAAUUGUAGUCCCGGUGAUGAUGCCGGGUACCCGCAACGGGACGAAAAGACCCCGUGAACCUUUACUAUAGCUUAACGCUGAAUUUGGGUACACAAUGUGUAGGAUAGGCAGGAGACUACGAAGCGGGCACGCCAGUGUUCGUGGAGUCGACGUUGAAAUACUGCCCUUUGUGUACUUGAGUUCUAACCCUCGAGAGGGGACACCGUUUGGUGGGUAGUUUGACUGGGGUGGUCGCCUCCAAAAGAGUAACGGAGGCUUCCCAAGGUACCCUCAGCACGAAUGGUAACCGUGCGUAGAGUGCAAUAGCAUAAGGGUGCUUGACUGUGAGAC